UUAUUCUCAGGAAGCCCUGAGCGCUGAGAGACACUGUUACAGAGCCGAACUGGGGUCCACUCGCUAGGCCUACCUAGGUGCCUGGAAUUUCCCUUCAAGGAACUCAGGAGUUUUCUUUAUUUUCAUGCUUGGGGAGGCUCAUUAGGCCCCUAAGAGGGGGCCCCUUCCCCAUCUCGGGACUAAAAUACAAUGAAGAUGUUGCUCAGAGGCAGCUGGAGAGGGAUGGAUCUGUGGAUGACGCCUCGCAGAGUGAAGCCGAGAUGAUGCAGCCACCAGGGCCAGAGGGGAGGGACAUUUCACUUUUUAAAUCAGCUUUCUGAAGUAUAAUGUCCAUAGAAUCACCUAGAAGCAUACAGCGCAAUGAUCUUGACAGAUACCAGCAUCCUUGGAACCACUGCCAACACCGACGUCUCAAACCAUCCCAUCUGCCUGGUGCCCUGAAGCGUCUCCGUUCAAUGGCAGGACCAGCAGAGAUUCAGUGGUCACAAGGCUGGUCUCAAACUCCUGAGUGCAAGCGAUCCUCCCACCUCGGCCUCCCAAAGUGCUGGGAUUACAGGCAUGAGCCACUGUGCCCAGCCAGGAAUGGAUUUUCUCACAGUUCUCGAUGGCAGAAGUCUGACAUCAAGGUGUUGGCAGGGCUGGGUCUCUCUGAGGCCUUUCUCCCCAGCUUACAGGUGGCCGCCUCCUCUCUCUGUCUUUCCUUGUCUUCCUUGUGUCCACAGCUGUGUCCAAAUUCCCCUUUCUCAUAAGGACAUCAGUCAUGUUGAAUUAGGGCCCUCCCUCCUGACCUUGUUUUAGCUUAAUCUCUGUAACUUAACCCUUAACCUCAGUAAAGAUCCUAUCUCCAAAUGUGUUCACAUUCUGAGGUCCUGGGGAUUAGGACUUUGAAGGGGUUAAAACAGGAUCUUCUG